rnacentral:rRNA from 1 species
UACGGAGGGUGCAAGCGUUGUCCGGAAUCACUGGGCGUAAAGGGCGCGUAGGCGGCUCAUGAAGGCUGUGGUGAAAGUCCGGGGCUCAACCUCGGAUCGGCCGUGGCGACUCGUGGGCUGGAGCACUGUAGAGGCGGGUGGAAUUCCGGGUGUAGCGGUGGAAUGCGUAGAGAUCCGGAAGAACACCAGUGGCGAAGGCGGCCCGCUGGGCCGAAACUGACGCUGAGGAGCGAAAGCGUGGGGAGCGAACAGG